rnacentral:tRNA from 1 species
GCCGGGGUCCCCUAACCUGGUAUGGGGCAGGCCUGCUAAGUCUGCGGGCGAAAGCCCAUGCGGGUUCAAAUCCCGCCCCCGGCG